rnacentral:rRNA from 1 species
UACGGAGGAUCCAAGCGUUAUCCGGAAUUACUGGGCGUAAAGAGUUGCGUAGGUGGCAUAGUAAGCAGAUAGUGAAAGCGUGUGGCUCAACCAUACAUCCAUUAUCUGAACUGCUAAGCUAGAAGAUGAGAGAGGUAGAUGGAAUUCCUAGUGGAGGGGUAAUAUCCGUAGAUAUUAGGAGGAACACCGAUGGCGUAGGGCAGUCUACUGGCUCAUUCUUGACACUAAGGCACGAAAGCGUGGGGGAGCAAACAGG